CAGCCGAGCGGUAGAGAUCUUUCGGGAUCUUGAGAGCGGCGUACGGGUGCGGAACACGUGUGCAACCUGCCUUUAUCUGGGGGAUAGCCUUUCGAAAGGAAGAUUAAUACCCCAUAAUAUACUGAAUGGCAUCAUUCGGUAUUGAAAACUCCGGUGGAUAGAGAUGGGCACGCGCAAGAUUAGAUAGUUGGUGAGGUAACGGCUCACCAAGUCUACGAUCUUUAGGGGGCCUGAGAGGGUGAUCCCCCACACUGGUACUGAGACACGGACCAGACUCCUACGGGAGGCAGCAGUGAGGAAUAUUGGACAAUGGGUGAGAGCCUGAUCCAGCCAUCCCGCGUGAAGGACGACGGCCCUAUGGGUUGUAAACUUCUUUUGUAUAGGGAUAAACCUACCCUCGUGAGGGUAGCUGAAGGUACUAUACGAAUAAGCACCGGCUAACUCCGUGCCAGCAGCCGCGGUAAUACGGAGGGUGCAAGCGUUAUCCGGAUUUAUUGGGUUUAAAGGGUCCGUAGGCGGAUCUGUAAGUCAGUGGUGAAAUCUCACAGCUUAACUGUGAAACUGCCAUUGAUACUGCAGGUCUUGAGUGUUGUUGAAGUAGCUGGAAUAAGUAGUGUAGCGGUGAAAUGCAUAGAUAUUACUUAGAACACCAAUUGCGAAGGCAGGUUACUAAGCAACAACUGACGCUGAUGGACGAAAGCGUGGGGAGCGAACAGGAUUAGAUACCCUGGUAGUCCACGCCGUAAACGAUGCUAACUCGUUUUUGGAAUGUAAGUUUCAGAGACUAAGCGAAAGUGAUAAGUUAGCCACCUGGGGAGUACGAACGCAAGUUUGAAACUCAAAGGAAUUGACGGGGGCCCGCACAAGCGGUGGAUUAUGUGGUUUAAUUCGAUGAUACGCGAGGAACCUUACCAAGGCUUAAAUGGGAAAUGACAGGUUUAGAAAUAGACUUUUCUUCGGACAUUUUUCAAGGUGCUGCAUGGUUGUCGUCAGCUCGUGCCGUGAGGUGUUAGGUUAAGUCCUGCAACGAGCGCAACCCCUGUCACUAGUUGCCAUCAUUAAGUUGGGGACUCUAGUGAGACUGCCUACGCAAGUAGAGAGGAAGGUGGGGAUGACGUCAAAUCAUCACGGCCCUUACGCCUUGGGCCACACACGUAAUACAAUGGCCGGUACAGAGGGCAGCUACACUGCGAAGUGAUGCAAAUCUCGAAAGCCGGUCUCAGUUCGGAUUGGAGUCUGCAACUCGACUCUAUGAAGCUGGAAUCGCUAGUAAUCGCGCAUCAGCCAUGGCGCGGUGAAUACGUUCCCGGGCCUUGUACACACCGCCCGUCAAGCCAUGGAAGUCUGGGGUACCUGAAGUCGGUGACCGUAACAGGAGC
rnacentral:rRNA from 1 species